GCAGCGAAGAGAGAGAGGUUGGCUGGAGGAGGAUAGGAGUGAGAUGCCGAUGUGUAAUGUGAAACUCAUAUGAACUUCGUUCGUGAUCGUGCGGUGGAAAUGUGGGAACAGGAUUCUCCAGUGAACCUGACGGAAUUGUGUAGUGAUGUGAGUGAUUGAGAGGGCGCUAGUUCAGCUAUCUGCUAGCUCAGCGGCUAACGCUAACGGCCAGCAGGAAUUGGCUGAAGAGUGGAGACUUCAGUGCGGAUUAUCGGAACUCGAAGUAAGAAGUUCUGAUGGAACCGUACUGGUUGCGAUGAGAACGUUUUUUUUUUUUUUUUUUUUUUUCCGGACGUUGUCAGGAGGUUUAUUUACAAGGGACGUUCAUCUGCGUUGGCCCAGAAGAUACGAACACCCCGGUCAUGAUGCAACUAGAUCUAAGGGCAGAAAACUGAGCCAGAUCACUGAAGUCUCCCGGGAAUCUGCUGAUGUGCCAAAAAGGCUCAAGUUCACGAGCAACAAAAGCCCAAGGACGCAAGCCACCUGCUGAUGCUCCAACAAAACAACAGCCAGUCACCACAGGCGCCAGAUACUUCCCCUGAAUCCUCAGUCUCACCUCUGUCUCCAUUUCUCAAUACACCACCAGGAACAUAAGAUCUUCCACAGCAUUGUCCGACU